UACGUAGGGGGGCAAGCGUUGUCCGGAUUUACUGGGCGUAAAGAGCGUGUAGGCGGCCACGCAGGUCCGUUGUGAAAACUGGAGGCUCAACCUUCAGACGUCGACGGAAACCGUAUGGCUAGAGUCCGGAAGAGGAGAGUGGAAUUCCUGGUGUAGCGGUGAAAUGCGCAGAUAUCAGGAAGAACACCAAUGGCGAAGGCAGCUCUCUGGGACGGUACUGACGCUGAGACGCGAAAGCGUGGGGAGCGAACAGG
rnacentral:rRNA from 1 species